GUUUUUUAAUGUAUAAGCAUAUAUAUAAUUUCUAAGUGACCUACUCAGUUUUUACUUCAUUUUACUUCAUUUGCAGUUUAGGUACAGGAAGAAAAGAAUCCAUCUGUGGAAUUUCCCUGUGCAAGAUGCCAAAUGCUCAGUUGGAAAGGAGGCUUCUUCCCCCAGUCAGCUGCUGCAGCAGAGGAUGCACAGUGUCAGAGGUGGAGAUGGCCAAAAUGAAGCCAAAGAAUCCUUGGUGCUGUCCUGUGUCUGAACACCAGAGCACUGAAUACUGAGCAGAACUGUCUCCUCUGUACCUCAAGAACUUCCUGUAGGAAAUUUUUAGACUGCUGGUGGCAGCCCCAUGGAAUGAGUCAGCUCCGUGCUGCUUUCAGUCUGGUGAAUGAGAGGAUUCUGGAGGCAUAAUUUCUUUAUUACUGAAGCCUGGGUUUGACAAAAUUGUAGAAUUCACUGCUUUCUCAUAGAUAUGUGUGUCUAAUUGACAGAAAGAAAACACCAAAGCCUUGUGUGAAUCAGAAUUCCAGAAUCAUUAAGGAUGGAGAAAAAACUCCAGGUGAUCCUGGAGGUCAAACCUGUGACUGACCCAGCCCAGAGCACUGAGUGCCACAUCCAUUCAUUCCUUGGUCACUUCCAGGGAUGGGCACUCCAAACCUCUUGGGGCAGCCCCUUCCAGUGCCUGAGCACCCUUUCCAUGGGGAAGUUCCUGCUGCUGCCCACCCUGAGCCUGCCCUGGCCCAGCCUGAGGCCGUUCCCUCUCCUCCUGUCCCUGUUCCCUGGCAGCAGAGCCCGACCCCCCCGGCUGUCCCCUCCUGUCAGGAGCUGUGCAGAGCCACAAGGUCCCCCCUGAGCCUCCUUUUCUCCAGGCUGAGCCCCUUCCCAGCUGCCUCAGCUGCUCCUGGGGCUCCAGCCCCUCCCCAGCUCCGUUCCCUUUUCUCAGCCUGAAUGUGUGCCAGUCAGAGGCACCACUGUGCCGAUAAGUUAUUGUGUGCCCCAGCUUUUGCCAAAGCAGGAACACAAGAGCAGCAAAGCUCUGGUUAAUUAUUCUGAUACCUCCCUUCCUUAAGAGGCUCUGAGAUGAGUAUAUCUUUUAAAGGAAAAAAAUUGUCUUGCAUCCUGUAGGUUAUUUUCCAGAGAAAUACAAAAAAUACCUUUCUGCUGAGAAUUAGCCUUUCUGCAUAAAAUGCAAAUCCACUGUCCAGGCCCCAGAUAAACACAUACUGGAAUGGCAUCACUGCUUGUGCAGAGUCCUGGCUGUGCUUCUGGGAUUCUUCAACCAUUUCCAGCUCCAGCACUCAGCCGCAAGCCUGAAACUCCUCACCUUAGUGCUGCUCAUGUUUUCCCUUUCUUUGAGGCUUUGAAGAGCUUAAAGAUCACCUCUCUCAAAGUACUUGACAAAAGUAUCUCUUACCUGCAGAAGGUAACUCCUGCACUCUUCAUCUGAAGCAUUUUACUAUCUACCUGAUCUUUUCAUGUAUUUCUAUUUUUCCCAGAAAAUUCACCUUCGUCCUCUUUUUUGUUUCAUGACCUGCAUCUCACUCAUUUGUGGCCUACUCAGCCAGGGAGGCACCUCUGGGGUGCUGUGUCCAGCCCUGGAUCCUCAGCACAGCAGGGACAGGAGCUCCUGGAGCGGGGCCAGCUCAGGCUGUGAGGAUGAGGAGGGCCUGGAGCAUCUCUGUGCCCAGGAAAGGCUGAGGGAGCUGGGGCUGCUCAGCCUGGAGAGGAGCCCCAGCUGAGAGGGGCCCUCAGGCCUGGCUGUCCCUGUGUGCAGGGAGGGCAGAGCAGGGCCCAGGCUCUGCUCCGGGGCCCAGCAGUGGCACCAGAGCCACGGGCAGGGCCUGAGCCCAGGAACUGCCCCUGCCCAGGAGGCAGAACUGCUGCCCUGGG